rnacentral:rRNA from 1 species
AAGAUUAAGCCAUGCAUGUCUAAGUAUAAGCAAUUAUACCGUGAAACUGCGAAUGGCUCAUUAAAUCAGUUAUCGUUUAUUUGAUAGUACCUUACUACUUGGAUAACCGUGGUAAUUCUAGAGCUAAUACAUGCUAAAAACCCCGACUUCGGAAGGGGUGUAUUUAUUAGAUAAAAAACCAACGCCCUUCGGGGCUUCUUGGUGAUUCAUGAUAACUUUACGGAUCGCAUGGCCUUGCGCCGGCGACGGUUCAUUCAAAUUUCUGCCCUAUCAACUUUCGAUGGUAAGGUAUUGGCUUACCAUGGUUUCAACGGGUAACGGGGAAUUAGGGUUCGAUUCCGGAGAGGGAGCCUGAGAAACGGCUACCACAUCCAAGGAAGGCAGCAGGCGCGCAAAUUACCCAAUCCCGACACGGGGAGGUAGUGACAAUAAAUACUGAUACAGGGCUCUUUUGGGUCUUGUAAUUGGAAUGAGUACAAUUUAAACCUCUUAACGAGGAACAAUUGGAGGGCAAGUCUGGUGCCAGCAGCCGCGGUAAUUCCAGCUCCAAUAGCGUAUAUUAAAGUUGUUGCAGUUAAAAAGCUCGUAGUUGAAACUUGGGUCUGGCUGGCAGGUCCGCCUCACCGCGUGUACUUGUCCGGCCGGGCCUUCCUUCUGGAGAACCUCAUGCCCUUCACUGGGCGUGUUGGGGACCAGGACUUUUACUUUGAAAAAAUUAGAGUGUUCAAAGCAGGCCUUUGCUCGAAUACGUUAGCAUGGAAUAAUAGAAUAGGACGUGCGGUCCUAUUUUGUUGGUUUCUAGGACCGCCGUAAUGAUUAAUAGGGACAGUCGGGGGCAUCAGUAUUCAAUUGUCAGAGGUGAAAUUCUUGGAUUUAUUGAAGACUAACUACUGCGAAAGCAUUUGCCAAGGAUGUUUUCAUUAAUCAGUGAACGAAAGUUAGGGGAUCGAAGACGAUCAGAUACCGUCGUAGUCUUAACCGUAAACUAUGCCGACUAGGGAUCGGGCGAUGUUCUUUUUCUGACUCGCUCGGCACCUUACGAGAAAUCAAAGUUUUUGGGUUCUGGGGGGAGUAUGGUCGC